rnacentral:tRNA from 1 species
GAAUCGAUAGCUUAGCAUAUAAAGCCCUAAACUUUUAAUUUAGAUAACGGUACAAAACCUCGAUUCG